rnacentral:lncRNA from 1 species
CAGACCUUUUUUUUUGUAUUUCUUUUUGAGGAAGAUUAGCCCUGAGCUAACAUCUGCUGACAAUCCUCCUCUUUUUUACUGAGGAAGACUGACCCUGAGCAAACAUCUGUGCCCAUCUUCCUCUAGUUUAUAUGUGGGAUGCCUACCACAGCAUGGCUUGCCAAGUGGUGCCAUGUCUGCACCCGGGAUCUGAACCGGUGAAUCCUGGGCCGCUGAAGCUGAACGUGCAAACUUAACUGCUGUGCCACCGGGCAAGCCCCCUGCCACAGACCCUUUGCCUCACAGUCUCUUGGGGUGGUCUGUCGGGGACCCCACCUGGAGAUACAUAGGCCAGCAGAUUGUCUGUGACCCAGACAUUCAUCUCUUGGCCACAGUGACCUCCCCUCUGACCUCUGAAAUCUCAAAAACACUGAGAGUCCCACCCAGGGUCCCAUCUCCUUAUUGAUCCAAACCCUGGGACGCUGCAGCGGAGUGUGCGAACUUAACCACUCGACCACGGAUCCAGCCCCCGGACAGAAUUUUCUUGAAACAACCAGGAUUGCAUUCUCAGAAAGAGGGACUGCAAUUCAUCUGGGCCAUGGGGCUUCCAAGGAGGCAAAAGUGACCAGAAAAACUGCUUGUCCUCUGAGCUUAUGGGGAAGACAGAUGCACCUGCAUGCUCACAACAGAUUUCGCUGCAUGCAACCAAAGAAAGGAGAUGGCUAUCAGUGCGGGACUGGACCCGCUUGUUGGAAGGGUGCAAAUGGAAAUUAGAGAGGCGGUUGUUGCAGAGUCCUUGGUGGGGCAGGCAGCUGUGGGCCUGUGGGGAGGGAGAGGCAAACUGGACAGAAGCUGGGAGCACAGGCUCUGGAGCUGACUUCCUGGGUAUAAAUCCCCCUCCACUAGUUGUGUGAUCAUGCACCAGUUAUUCACCUCGAGACAGCUGCAGAUCCCAAAUCCACUGCAGGCAGAGAUUCUGAUCUAGCAGGUCUAGGCUGGCCAGGAACCUGCAGAUUUUUCUCUUUUUUCCACAAGCAUCUUAUGGUUUGUUGUAGAUGGUCUGCAAAACACACCUUCAGAAACACUGGCUCUCAGGGAAAGGUCAUGCAUAUCAGCAAACUGGAGUGUCAGGCCUGUGUCUCCGUGACGUUUUUCAGUGUGAAAUCAUAAACUGUCAUUCAGGGUUAGACAUUAGACAUUAUACCACGCCAUGUAGAAGGCUUCAGGACAGCUGGCCAAGGAGGACAUCCGAUGGGCCUUGUCUCCCCAGAUAACCU